rnacentral:tRNA from 1 species
CGGGAUGUAGCGCAGUCCGGUAGCGUACUUGCAUGGGGUGCAAGUGGUCGCUGGUUCGAAUCCAGUCAUCCCGACCA